rnacentral:rRNA from 1 species
UGAGGAAUAUUGGACAAUGGGGGCAACCCUGAUCCAGCCAUGCCGCGUGAGUGAAGAAGGCCUUAGGGUUGUAAAGCUCUUUCGGCUGUGAAGAUAAUGACAGUAGCAGCAGAAGAAGCUCCGGCUAAAUUCGUGCCAGCAGCCGCGGUAAUACGAAUGGAGCGAGCGUUGUUCGGAAUCACUGGGCGUAAAGCGUACGUAGGCGGAUUGGAAAGUCAGAAGUGAAAUCCCGGGGCUUAACCCCGGAAUUGCUUUUGAAACUUCCAGUCUAGAGGCUCGGAGAGGUCAGCGGAAUUCCCAGUGUAGAGGUGAAAUUCGCAGAUAUUGGGAGGAACACCAGUUGCGUAGGCGGCUGGCUGGACGAGUACUGACGCUGAGGUACGAAAGCGUGGGGAUCAAACAGG